rnacentral:lncRNA from 1 species
AUGGGGCUGACAUCAACAGCAAGAAUGAGGACGGUGAGUUACACUGAGCCCUGGGUCAUGCUGCUUGCUUUUCCCUUUAUAGCAGCAGUGAGGGGCUGGGGUGUGGCAGUGCUGGGCCCUGCUGGGCAUUCAAACUGUAGUCCUCCCUGCUUCUCUCCUUGUAAGUCCCAGCCAGCCUGCUUUCAGGGGUUCCCCUCCUUGCAAGCUGGGCCUACCUCACUCUCACUCCCACCUCCACUGUGGGUACCAGGCACUUGGGGAACAGGAAUUUCUGGCCCCAUGUGGCUGAGAGUUUCUCUCUCUAAUCUCCCUCUGAUUAUCUGUGCGUCUCUCGCCUUCCCUCCCUGUGAGUCAUCAGCAUCCAUGGGGCCACCUACCCGCUUUCCCUGCUUCUUUCUGUUUCUAGGCAGCACCGCCCUGCACUUGGCCACCAUUUCUUGCCAGCCACAAUGUGUCAAGGUCCUGCUGCAGCAUGGUGCCAAUGAAGACGCUGUAGAUGCAGAAAAUCGUAGUCCAUUGCACUGGGCAGCCUCCUCUGGCUGUGCCUCAAGUGUGCUCCUUUUGUGUGAUCAUGAAGCCUUCCUGGAUGUCCUGGAUAAUGAUGGACGUACACCCCUGAUGAUUGCCUCACUGGGCGGUCAUGCAGCUAUCUGCUCACAGCUACUGCAGAGAGGUGCCCGGGUCAAUGUCACCGACAAGAAUGACAAAUCGGCUCUGAUCCUGGCCUGUGAAAAAGGCAGUGCUGAGGUGGCUGAACUGCUCCUGAGCCAUGGAGCAGAUGCGGGGGCAGUGGACGGCACGGGGCAUGAUGCUUUGCAUUAUGCCCUACGCACACAAGACAGGACACUGUGGAGGCUGCUGCGGCAGGCCCUGAACCGGCAGGGCAGAGGGGGUCAGGGGCCAGUUCAACACCUGAAUCCUGCAUCCCAGGCCUCUCCCUCUGAGUCUCAGGUGGGUGCUUCACCUAAGAGCCCAUGGAGGGCAGAGCCUGAGGAGGAGCAAGAGGAAGAAGAGGAUGAGGAUCCAUGUUCAGAGGAGUGGAAGUGGAAGUAUGAAGAGGAGAAGAGAAAAGUUUCUCAGUUGGAGCAGGAACUGCUGCAAAAGAUGGAAGAGUGCAAGGCUCAAGCUACAGCUUACCUGAGCCUGGAGAAUCAGAUUCAAGAACACGUGCGGGAGCUGGGGCUCCUCCUGUCCCAAGAGCCCAGAGCUCCAGGGGACCAGGGCUCUAGUCUCCGGCCUGGAGGAGACGGCAUGGAACAGGGUUGUGCUCUCAACCUGCUGGCUAAGCACAUACAAGAGCUGAAGAAGCAUCAGCAGGCCACAGCUGCAGCAGCAGCCAACCCAGUAUUAGCUUCCAAGAAGGCUGAGGAUUCAGUCUCAGGGGAGAUCCAGUAUGAAGCCCAGGGAAGGUCCCAACCAGAACAGGAGCCACCCCAGAGCCCAAAGUCUGAAACUGUAGGGGAAACUACAGGACAGCAACUGACCAACAGUGAUGGGCAGGCCCUUUGCCUUGAUCAUACUGACCAGCUGUUUGCUGGCCAGAAGGAGAGGCCCCAGGCUCCAGGGUCUGAACCCACAAGCACAGUGGCUGAGCCAGUGGGCACAGCAGCCAUGAAUCAGCUCCUGCUACAGCUGAGGGAGGAGCUGGCUGCGGUGUGGCGAGAAAAGGAUGCAGCCCGGGGGGCUUUAUCAAGACCCGUCUUGGAGGGAGCUCUGGGGACACCCCGGGCUGAGGCUGCAGCAGCUGCCUGGGAGAAGAUGGAGGCCAGGUUGGAGCAGGUGCUGGUGAGACUGGAUCGAGCAAAAGCAGGAUUGCAGAUGAAACCCCAGGCCCCUGCCCAGGAGCCCAGAGAGGAAGCACCCAAGGCACUGCCAGGGACCAUCACCCAAGAGGAUGAAGAAAAGGAGAAAAGGGUCCCCGGAGCCCGGGGAGAACCUCUAGGGGCUCCUGGAGGGGAUCAGAUGGCAGGAGGAGGCCAGGCCGGGGGACAGCUGGAGAAGGAGGUGUCCGCCCUGAGACUGAGCAACAGUAACUUGCUGGAGGAGCUGGGGCAGCUGGGCCGGGAGCGGCAGCGGUUGCAGGGGGAGCUGCAGUCCCUGAGCCAGCGGCUACAGCGGGAGUUUGUGCCCAGGCCGGAGGCGCAAGUCCAGCUACAGCAGUUGCGGAGGAGUGUGGAGCUGCUGACAGAUGAACUGGCCCUGGAGAAGGAGGCCACCGAGAAGCUGCGGAAGCGCCUGGCCUCCCAGAACAGAGGCCUCCAGGGGCUGUGGGACUGCCUGCCCCCAGACCUGGUAGGCCAGGGGAGUGCACGGGGCACAGCCGAGCCCCUCGAAGACCUGCAGGCCUGCAUCAGUGCCUUGGUGGCCAGGCACCGCGAGGCCCAGCAGGGGCUGGCUCGGCUGGAAGAGGAAAACCAGCAGCUACGGGGCUCCCCUUCCCGCCGUGGGGAGCCAGGCGUCUCCACGAAGGGCUCGGCCUCCCCUCAGGUGGCGGCUCUGGAGCAAGACCUGGGGAAGCUGGAGGAAGAGCUGCGGGCAGUUCAGGCCACAAUGAGCGGGAAGAGCCAGGAGAUCGGGAAGCUGAAGCAGCUGCUCUACCAAGCCACUGAGGAAGUGGAGGAGCUGAGGGCCCGGGAGGCGGCCAGCCUGCGGCAGCACGAGAAAACUCGGGGCUCCCUGGUGGCCCAGGCCCAGGCUUGGGGCCAGGAGCUGAAGGCUCUGCUGGAAAAGUACAACACUGCCUGCCGGGAGAUGGGUAGGCUGCGGGAGGCGGCGGCCGAGGAGCGGCGCCGGAGCGGGGACCUGGCCACGCGCGCAGCGGAGCACGAGCGCCAGGCCAGCGAGAUGCGCGGACGCUCGGAACAGUUCGAGAAGACGGCGGAGCUGCUCAAGGAGAAGGUGGAGCAUCUCAUCGGGGCUUGCCGGGACAAGGAGGCCAAGAUCAAGGAAUUGUUGAAGAAGCUGGAGCAGCUUUCGGAGGAGGUUCUAGCUGUUCGGGGAGAUAACGCUCGCCUUGCUCUACAGCUGCAGGAUUCCCAGAAGAACCAUGAAGAGAUCAUCUCUACCUAUAGGAAGCAUCUGCUGAAUGCUGCUCAGGGCUACAUGGAACAGGACGUGUAUAAUAUCCUCCUGCGAAUCCUCAGCAUACAGGAGUGAAGCAACCCGUGCCCUAAAGAAUAUGGGAUCUCUCUGUUGCAGCUGGCUAUCUUCUCCAGUCCGGAUAGGGAACAGAGCAUCCUGGUUGG